UCCCUCUGGCAAGUCGCCAUUACAACCCGGUGUUUGCAACUAUCAUUAUAACAGUCCUGUUAGGGCCAAGAGAACUACUUAUCAAGUGCUCAAGUGACAUCAUGGAAACUCUUCAAACUACCACGGCUCAGAUGGUCCAGGCUUUGCAUCAGGAAACUGCUUUAAUAUAAAGAAUAGGUGCUCUUCACAUCAACAUCCACCAUAAUUAUUAAUAAACCAGGUCAAAAGAAUAUGCCCUUGAUGACGCCACUGCUUGGACUGAUGGGACAAAAAAAUGGAUGGAGCCAGGCCAGAUCUAAAGCUAUUACAUAAACACAUCAUGCAUGUUGUACCUUCACUUGCAUGGGCUGUGUGAAAGAAAAAUGCAGGAAACAAUUAAGUAAAACAGAUGGAAAAUGA